rnacentral:misc_RNA from 1 species
GUUCGCUCACUCUCCCUCCUUAUCCAUUGAACGUAAAGCAAACGAAUUGAACGAAGAGAAAGAAAUUAAACAUCCAACCAUGGACCUUAUUUCUUGCUCCUUCUGCUCCACUCUCCACUCCAAAUCGGCGAGUCUCCGGCAAUUUUUAUCUACUAAUCGUACUAGCUAUAAUUCUACUUCCGCAAAAUGCCGCCUCAAAACGACAUCGGAGCUCCAAACACCGGUGGGAGUUACCGGCCGAGACGGUUAUCAUUCUCCAUCAAUUCCCAUCCAUAAAGUCACUGUUCGUGACAGGCAACGAGGACUCGUUCACGAAUUUCUCGUUCCUGAGGAUCAAUAUAUAUUGCAUACUGCUGAAUCACAGAACAUUUCACUUCCAUUUGCUUGCAGGCAUGGUUGUUGCACUAGCUGUGCUGUACGUGUAAAAUCUGGACAUAUUAGACAGCCAGAAGCACUAGGGAUAUCUGCAGAACUGAAAUCAAAGGGUUAUGCGCUUCUUUGCGUAGGUUUCCCAUCUUCUGAUCUUGAAGUAGAAACACAAGAUGAGGAUGAGGUGUAUUGGCUUCAGUUUGGAAGAUAUUUUGCCCGUGGACCAAUUGAAAGGGAUGACUACGCACUGGAGUUGGCCAUGGGUGAUGAAUAGGCAAUUUGUCACAAGUAAUGGAACCAAAAAGUUAGGAUCCAGCUAGUCUAGCAUCCGGAUUGUUUUUUCCAUCCCUU